UUCACGGACGAUUUCACGUUCACAAAUGUGUGCGUUGCGCGUUGUACGUUGCUUCCGAUUUGAAGGUACGCGUUGACCAAAUGAAAGUUUCGAACAAGUCAGAAAUUAGACUGCGGCUGUUGCCGAUCGACUCUUCUCUAUAUUCUGUUCCUUCAACUGACACCGAUCUUGUAGUUCGUCUUUGCGCGUGACGAGCGUGACGCACGCGACUUCCCGAGCGUUACUACUUACUGUCUAUCAACCGUGAGUGUAUAUACAGCGAAUAUACAUGUAAUACACGUGACAGCCUCGAGAAUCGAUCGAAUGGAAACUCUUUCUCUAUCCAUAUUCCCGUUGACUCAUGUUUGUUGGCACUGGUUACGCGUUCGUAAAAUUGACCAUAAUUAACAUAGGAAUUUCACCCAAACUCCAUAGCUCUGUUGCAAUGCUUCACAUGCUAAACUACACAGAAACCACUACGGUGUCUGCUUUCCUAUGCUGCACCGGAAGAAACAAACCCUUCGAAACCGGUUUGGAGCUUGUUGUCACUAGCAAUAUCGUGAUUAACUUAUGAGUAUAGUUUCGAUACGAAUCCUACUCUUUUAAGACAAUAUAAAAUACUUUUAUCUAAUAAAUGAGACUUUGUAAUUUACAUGACAGCGAUAAUAGCUCGAUACCCAGUGGUUCCAACGAUGCCCCUAACGAUGACUUCGUCGAUCCCUACGAUGAUUUAUAAUUUAUGACAGAUAAUUCAUGAAUUAGUUCCAAUUCUUUCUUCCAUACGUGCAAUAAUAUAACCGCCUCUAUCGAAAUGAAAUAAGAUUAAAAUCAUUUUCUUCGUUAGUAUGAAAUUGUAUUAAAUGACGAUCUAUAACAAAUGUAACAUGGAUAUCUGUGACCGCAUGUUUGACACCUUGACGUCAACGAAACAUUAUUUUUGGUCGACGAUGUAUAUACAUUUAGUACGAAGCUACAUCGUAAAAUCACUAGUAAUAGAAUACGAACGAUUUUUAGGUAAACUCGUUCGAUAACGUUUGUCAGUCAACAUUCUCUUUUAAAAACUUGUCGUUUACUUAUUUACGAAAAUAGCCGAAAGAUCGAAGGUAAAGCCAAACUGCGUCUGUAUGAACGAUUCCAUUUGUAUGCUAAAUACAUAUAUACUUUGCCAACUUUCGUGUAGAGGGAUCUCGAUUUCUGAACUAUUUUCGUUGGUAGGCGUGUUUCUUGCUGAAACCGGCUUGUGCCAAACGGCUCUUCCUUCAACUACGGAUACAUAACACGUAACUACGUAACGAUUCUAUAUAUGUAUUUGUGCAUGGUUAUGAUAGUGUUUAAGAUGGACGAAACUUAUUAAGGAGGAUUACGUCAUUGUUGGAUCAGUGCCUCGAACGACUAGACUGCAUGAUAUACAUAUGUUGCAAACGCAUCGAUUAUAAAACACAAUGACUCGUGAUUCAUGAUUACUUUAAAGCUUAUAAACGCAUAUGAUUGAUUCGGGCAUCUUUGAAUCAGUCAAUAAUAAUUUUUACUUAGGAUAGACAAAACUAAGAUGUCCGUAGUAUCCUAGACGAAAAGCAUAUUUUCGAUUCUUCUACGUAAAAAUUCAAUUCUUUGUAAAGUAGCUAAUUUUCGUUUAUCGAUGAAAUUUGUCUUCCUUCGGGACGAGUGGGAGCAGCCGACGAAUCUUGGAUUUCAAACUGAAAAUGCUAAAAUCGAUCUAAAACGCAUGCCUGUGAUAUUGAUAUGCAAGAGCACGUGGCGUAUACCUUGAACGUUAAUCGAAAAAUAAGUAUAAGACAGAAGGAAGUAUCGACUGCGUUUUCAAGAACGUUCGUCGGUAUUGAAUUAUUCCAACAAGAUCAAGGAUCGAUACGUAUGCUUUAAUAGGAAGCGAGCAUAAUUUGCGAUAACGAUGAUAUCGAAUAUAUGUAAUAAAAAUAAGUUUACAAAAUACAAGGAACUUAAUGGCAUUUUGAGAACAUAAAGUGACUUAAUGUAAAUAGCGUACCUAUUUGUACGUAGAACCGUAGGAAGUUGAGCUAUACACGUGAGCGAACACGAGCCAAGAGUUUUAAGACGUGCUAACAUGUAAUUGCAAGCCUACCGAUUGGAUUUCUUUAUGAGAUAACACUGAUAAUAACGCGAUUUAUAAUUGCUUCUCUUAUAGUUAAAAUUACGUGUAUUUUAAACUUAUCUUGUCUUUAUCUUUUUCUUUUUAUUGGUCAGAAUUAAUUAAAAAUAUAACUGUUGAAUCACGAUAAUGCGGUUUAUGCACAUUUAUGGUCAAUAAUCAUAUGGCCUAUAUAGUUCAAAUCUGGCAUUGAGCCACAAAGUUGGAUAUCGCGAUAUUUAUUUAACAGGUUUAACAGGUUUUCAUUUGACCAAUUUAACAUGACUACAUCUUACAGCAAAUGCAUGCACUU